rnacentral:lncRNA from 1 species
UCCAAUAAAAAAUACUUAUAAUUAUAAAAAAAAAUACUAUUGGUUAGUUCUCCGAUGCUAGCUCGUUUAAAUAUAUACUACAGAUAUAUAAUUCGGCUACCAAAAUUCAGCAAUGCAUCUAUAGUUCUUGACCACGAAAUGACUCAAUUAAAUGAGUUCAUCAUCUGUGCAAGUUGCUCAUUCAUUGGCAUAUGUAUAAUUUAGGUUGCAUGGUAAAAGCAAGAACAUUGUCUUCCAUUUGUGUUGUACCUUCUCAUAUCAACGUUUCACUCUCACAGGCUGAGGCUUCAUAAGUAUUAUCUCCCCAUGCCGUGUCUCUGCGUGCUGAAGUUCUUUCAUU